GACGAACGCUGGCGGCGUGCUUAACACAUGCAAGUCGAGCGGUAAGGCUCCUUCGGGAGUACACGAGCGGCGAACGGGUGAGUAACACGUGAGUAAUCUGCCCUUCACUUCGGGAUAACCACCGGAAACGGUGGCUAAUACCGAAUACGACCAGUCUUCGCAUGAGGUGCUGGUGGAAAGUCUUUUCGGUGAAGGAUGUGCUCGCGGCCUAUCAGCUUGUUGGUGGGGUAAUGGCCUACCAAGGCUUCGACGGGUAGCCAGCCUGAGAGGGUGACCGGCCACACUGGGACUGAGACACGGCCCAGACUCCUACGGGAGGCAGCAGUGGGGAAUAUUGGACAAUGGGCGAAAGCCUGAUCCAGCAACGCCGCGUGAGGGAUGACGGCCUUCGGGUUGUAAACCUCUUUCAGUACCGACGAAGCGCCCUGUCGGGUGGUGACGGUAGGUACAGAAGAAGGACCGGCCAACUACGUG
rnacentral:rRNA from 1 species